GAUGAACGCUAGCGGGAGGCCUAACACAUGCAAGCCGAGCGGGAUUUGUUGGUUAGCUUGCUAACUAACAAUGAGAGCGGCGUACGGGUGCGUAGCACGUGUGCAACCUGCCUUUAUCUGGGGGAUAGCCUUUCGAAAGGAAGAUUAAUACCCCAUAACAUAUUGAUUGGCAUCAGUUAAUAUUGAAAGCUCCGGCGGAUAGAGAUGGGCACGCGUAAGAUUAGCUAGUUGGUGAGGUAACGGCUUACCAAGGCUGCGAUCUUUAGGGGACCUGAGAGGGUGAUCCCCCACCCUGGAACUGGGACACGGACCAGGCUACUGCGGGAGGCAGCAGAGACGAAUAUUGGGCAAUGGGGGAGAGCCUUAGCCAGCCAGCCCGCGUGAAGGACUAAGGACCUAUGGUAUGUAAGCUGCUUUUAUACAGGGAUAGACCUACUAUCGUGAGGGUAGCUGAAGGUACUGUAUGAAUAAGCACCGGCUAACUCCGUG
rnacentral:rRNA from 1 species